rnacentral:rRNA from 1 species
UGGGGAAUAUUGGACAAUGGGCGAAAGCCUGAUCCAGCCAUGCCGCGUGUGUGAAGAAGGUCUUCGGAUUGUAAAGCACUUUAAGUUGGGAGGAAGGGUUGUAGAUUAAUACUCUGCAAUUUUGACGUUACCGACAGAAUAAGCACCGGCUAACUCUGUGCCAGCAGCCGCGGUAAUACAGAGGGUGCAAGCGUUAAUCGGAAUUACUGGGCGUAAAGCGCGCGUAGGUGGUUAGUUAAGUUGGAUGUGAAAUCCCCGGGCUCAACCUGGGAACUGCAUUCAAAACUGACUGACUAGAGUAUGGUAGAGGGUGGUGGAAUUUCCUGUGUAGCGGUGAAAUGCGUAGAUAUAGGAAGGAACACCAGUGGCGAAGGCGACCACCUGGACUGAUACUGACACUGAGGUGCGAAAGCGUGGGGAGCAAACAGGAUUAGAUACCCACGUAGUCCCUGAGCGGGCUGGCAAGGCGCAU